GAUAUACAAUAAAUAUUAAUUAAUAUUUUUGGUUUUAGAAGUUAAGUUUAUUUUUUUGAAAUUUAUAUAUUUAUUUUUAGGUGAAAUUUAAAUUUUUGUUAAUUUUUUUAUUGGUUCUAUUGAAAUAUAUAAUAUAAACUAGGAUUAGAUACCCUAUUAUAAUAUAUAUAAAUUUUAGCCAGGGUAGUAUUAGUUAUGUUCUUUAAACCUAAA
rnacentral:rRNA from 1 species